CUGGGAAUGGGAAUACAGACGUGAGCCACCGUGCCCGGCCAAAUAGUGGUCUUUUAAGACUAGAUUUCUAUUGGUUUUGCUUGCUUUUUCCUCAGGCUUCAUGGAGUCUCCUUCACUCAUACAGAGUUUUGCUGUGAGACAUGGAUUUGGGCAGUUCUAUCGCAUUUCUUCUCUGGUUCUCAUUCCCAAGAUUUCCUACUUAAAUUUGCAGUGGCUUUUCAAGUCUUAACUCCAGUCUCUGGCACUUGUUGCCAGUAAGGCUAUGAUUUCUUUUUUUUUUCUAACAGUAUUUCCCACAGCCAUAGUCAUGAAGAUUGGGCAGGAUCCUCGAUCCCAAAACCAGAAACAGCGUUCUUCGGAAGAAUGGCUGAUUCUGCAUCUAUGGCUGAGAAAAUACAAGCUGAGCCUAGAGCAUCUUGUACUGCCAGAAAUUAAAGAAGUGUUCAGAAGACAGAAGAAUUUGGGGACAUGUCAAAAGGACAAAGAAGCCAACAUGACCCAAAGACCUUUGGUCUUUGGAAUUAUAUAUUUUGAACAACAAAAUAUAUAUUUUGAACAACAAAAUAUAUAAGGUAUAAGGUAGUAUUGAAUAAGCCAAAUGAAUCUACUAUACAACAGGAAAAAUAGUAACUUCAGUAAAUUUACAGUGCAGAAACCCGGCAAA